GGGAUGUUGGCGAGAUUUGCUCUAUAUGCCUUUCAAGUUGCCGAUCUGUUUAUUUUAUAGCUCUUUGUUUCAACACUAUAUUAUAAACUGGAAUGUACAAGUGUAUAUAAACAGCAGACAUGAAUGAAUGAAUGAAUGGAUGGAGAUAAAUCAGUUUAAUGACCCAAUGUGUUGUGUUCGAAGGAGACUCCAUCCAACAGUUCAAAGACAUGUUAAUGCAGUGAGACAACUGGUGGCAAAUGAUGGCUUUGUGGCUGUUAAUGAAAACUACAUGGCAUUUUACGCUGAUGGUGGCAAGCAGUGACUGUCACAGAAAAUUUCUCAACCAAUAGUUACAUUCUCUUGAAAAUAAUGGCAUAUCUUAUACUGACUAUACUGCAGAAGUAAUUGUUGAAAAAAAAACAAAAAAACAUUAUGGCAAACAGUGGAAAACAUUGAUAUACUACGAUGAUAGUGGAACUGAGUAGAAACUGGUGACAUUUUAGCUCCAUAUUGUUUGUACUACGUAUUUUCUGUCAUCUAGUGAAGAAAUGUCAAAAUUCAUAAGCAGUUUUGUUAUACUAGAGACUAUUAUGAAAUUAUAAAUUAAGAUGUGACAUGCAUAAUGGUUUCUGAUUUUCAUUUCAGUCCAAUUCUGUCACCAACAAGUUUCCAUGGUAUUUCCGUGGAUUUCCAUAGUUAUUUGCCAUGGCAUGCCGUCCGAAUACUCCACGGAUUGCCAUGGAAUUUCACCUUGGCUGGUGAAAACCACCGCAAAUAGCGCCCUGCUUGCACGUAAUUAUGCCACCGGUCAACGCUUACGUUAUGACUCGGUGUAUAAACUAUGGGCACAUUAAAGCAUCAUAUUGAUGUCUAUUCACAAAGAGCUACUAGGAAAUAAGUUGUAGAGUAAAUCAUAUCUUUAAUAUCUAUACACUGAACAUCUAGGAAAUUAAGUAUUAUAAAUUAUGUAUAAAUGUAUUUGCUUCGCUAUACUACAUUUCCACAAAACCUAAGUUUGAAUGAUCUAUAACUUAUACUUGCAUACUUAUCAAUAUAAAAUAUAUAUAACUCGUAUCAUGCUGUA
rnacentral:lncRNA from 1 species